rnacentral:rRNA from 1 species
CCUACGGGCGGCAGCAGUGAGGAAUAUUGGUCAAUGGACGGGAGUCUGAACCAGCCAUGCCGCGUGAAGGAUGACGGCUCUAUGAGUUGUAAACUGCUUUUAUAAAAGAGUAAAACUAAACACGUGUACUUUGUUGAAUGUACUUUAUGAAUAAGGAUCGGCUAACUCCGUGCCAGCAGCCGCGGUAAUACGGAGGAUCCGAGCGUUAUCCGGAUUUAUUGGGUUUAAAGGGUGCGUAGAUGGAUUGUUAAGUUAGUUGUGAAAGUUUGGGGCUCAACCGUGGAAUUGCAAGUGAUACUGGCAGUCUUGAGGACAGUUGAGGUAGGCGGAAUGCGUGGUGUAGCGGUGAAAUGCUUAGAUAUCACGAAGAACCCCGAUUGCGAAGGCAGCUUACUAAACUGUGACUGACAUUGAGGCUCGAAAGUGUGGGGAUCAAACAGGAUUAGAUACCCUUGUAGUC